ACGCUCGACACCUACGGGAGGCAGCAGUCGGGAAUAUUGCGCAAUGGAGGAAACUCUGACGCAGUGACGCCGCGUAUGGGAAGAAGGUUUUCGGAUUGUAAACCAUUUUAGACAAGGAAGAAACAAGACAGUACUUGUAGAAUAAGCUCCGGCUAACUACGUGCCAGCAGCCACGGUAAUCUGAGCGGGCUGGCAAGGC
rnacentral:rRNA from 1 species